rnacentral:lncRNA from 1 species
ACAACAAAAGUUGAAUCUCCAUAGAUGUUAAGAUAUUUGAUUCUGAGAUCAAUGGCCUCUUCAAACCCAAUAAUGCAAGCUUCAUACUCAGCCAUAUUGUUCAUACAUUUGAAAGUCAAUCUAGCUGUAAAUUGAAAUUUAGUUCCUUGAGGAGUAAUGAUCACUGCCCCAAUGCCAUUCCCAUACAGAUUAACAGCUCCAUCGAAUACCAUACCCCAACGGGAACCAGGUUCUGGCCCUUCUUC